AUAAAAUACAUAAGCAACGAACUUUGAAACCAAUAUAAUAUUUAGUUAAAAUAACAAACCAGUGAAAGAAACAAAGACUGUCUAAUUAAGGAUGAAUCUACGAACAAAAGCAUUGAAUUUAUUGCUUGAAUUGUCAGCAGGACCGUGUAAAUGUCCUGCUCAUUCUUCUGCUAACUUCUUUCCCGUUUCAUCACAACUAAGCAGCAACGAAAAGGAGUAUGCAUUUGAGAUAAUAUCCCCAACGGUACGUUUCGGACCAGGAGUCACAAAAGAAGUAGGACUGGACGUUUUAAACUUGAAUUUAAAAAAUGUAUGCGUUAUUACUGAUUCAAACAUAUCAAAACUUGCACCCCUUAAGGUCACUCUGGACUCAUUAGCAAAACAUCAAGUAAAAUUCGAAGUGUACGAUCAAGUUCGUAUCGAACCUAACGAGGAGAGUUUUAAGCAAGCAGCAAGAUUCGCAAUUGGGUCGAAUUUUGACGGUUUUAUUGCAGUAGGGGGAGGUUCAGUUAUUGAUACAGCAAAAGCGGCCAAUUUGUACUCCAGCUACCCGCACGCAGACUUUUUAGAUUUCGUAAAUAGUCCUUUAGGAAAAGGAAAAACCAUCGACAAGCCACUUAAACCGCUGAUCGCAAUUCCAACAACAUCCGGAAGCGGAAGUGAAACCACUGCAGCCGCAAUCUUCGACUACACUCCCAAAAAAGCUAAAACUGGGAUACAAGGAAGGUAUCUUCGGCCCAUACUAGGACUCAUAGAUCCAGAACAUGUAUUAUCAUUACCAGAACGAGUCAGUGCCUAUAGUGGAUUUGAUGUCUUUUGUCACGCUUUGGAAUCAUUUACAACUUUGCCGUAUACUGAAAGAACUCCAAGACCUAGUAAUCCUUCUCAAAGACCCACUUACCAAGGAAGAAAUCCCGUCUCCGACGUUUGGGCGCAGUUUGCGUUAAGUACCCUCAACAAAUACUUCGAAAGGUCAGUUUUUCAUUCUGAUGAUAAAAAAGCGAGGUACAACAUGCAUUUGGCAGCUUCUAUGGCUGGGGUAGGUUUCGGAAACGCAGGAGUCCACUUGUGCCAUGCCUUGGCCUAUCCUAUUGCUGGUAUGGCAAAGAAUUUUAAUCCUGAAGGAUACAAUAAAGACCAUCCUAUUAUUCCUCACGGUUUAUCAGUUGUAGUAACAGCCCCCACAGUAUUUGAAUUUACGAGUCCUGCGUGUCCUGAAAGACAUUUGAGGGCAGCAGAAUUGCUUGGCGCAAAUGUAUUGAAUGCCAAGAAGGACGAUGCCGGACUUAUCCUUUCCGAUGUUAUAAGGACUUAUAUGCAAAAGUUGAAAAUUGAAAAUGGAAUAGGAGCUCUAGGAUAUACUGAAGAUGAUGUACCUAGACUUGUUGAAGGUACCUUACCACAAAAAAGGAUUACAAAGUUGGCACCACGAGAGCAGUCAGUAGAUGAUUUAACACAACUGUUCAAAAAUUCAAUGACAGCAUACUGAAAUAAACACUUUUUUGUUUUUUCUAAGUAUAAUUCCUCUACAAAGAACAUAUAUAACAGUAUCACAAAUAUGGACAUCAAAAGCUAUUGAAUACUUCACAUUAGCAUGUUUGUGCACGCACUUGGCAAAAUAAAAACAAAAGGGAAUGUAUUAUGUUAAUUAUAUUAAAAAACAUGUUAAUAAGGACAGAACCGUAUGAAUAAAUUGAUGAAAUAACAAGACCACUUUCCUCAAAAACUAGCAUAUUGAAACCAAAGCUCCAAAAAGAAAAACUAUAUAGACAUUACUCCAGCUCCUAAGAGUUCUCAUAAAAUUCCAUUGAUUUGUAAUCCUUAGAGUCUUCUACCUUUAAUAAUAGUGGAUUUUAAGGAGAUCCAGUAUAAUAAAUAAAAUGAAGUUUCGAAAUGCAAAUCCUGAAACUAAAUAAGAAAAUAUAACAAAACUGAUUCAAAAUAAACAUAGUAUGUACCUGUAAAGUGUGAUGUUUGUUGUAAUAACUGUUGUGUAAAAUAAAAAAAGGAUUAUUUGUUUUAA
rnacentral:misc_RNA from 1 species